rnacentral:rRNA from 1 species
UACGUAGGGGGCUAGCGUUGUCCGGAUUUAUUGGGCGUAAAGAGCGUGUAGGCGGCCAGGUAGGUCUGCUGUGAAAACUCGAGGCUCAACCUCGAGAUGUCGGCGGAAACCAUCUGGCUAGAGUCCGGAAGAGGAGAGUGGAAUUCCUGGUGUAGCGGUGAAAUGCGCAGAUAUCAGGAAGAACACCCGUGGCGAAGGCGGCUCUCUGGGACAGUACUGACGCUGAGACGCGAAAGCGUGGGGAGCGAACAGG